AUGGUGUCUCCUUCGUCUACCUUCGUCCGGCGUUUGUGGCGCCGAAAGGCUGCCCAGCGUGUGUCGCCGGGGAGGAUUGGUCCGGGGUUUGUCCCAACAAUGGCCUGGGUGGAGAUGACCAUUCAUUCUCCUCCAGCAGCCUGCGGUCAAGAUCGUGCGGGUUCGGAGCGAAGCUUCCUCCGGCUACUCCAGCUGUCCCGUACGUUGAGCACGGCAGCGUCGGUGAUAAGGGUCAUCUGCCUUCUUUGGUGCACUGUGUCCCAAGCAGGAAGCGACCCAAGACGCUCGCCGCUAUUCCCGUCGGCAGAUCACAAGGCCGAAGGAGGUUGGUGGCGGCGCCAGGUGGUUCGUCCGAUCGAUGCGUGGGGGCAAUUUUCGUCUUGA
rnacentral:rRNA from 1 species